CCCUUCUCUGGAGUUUUGUAACAAGCCCAAGAUGUGGCUCAACUCUGUAAUCAUCACUAAGAUUUUUGGGAAGGUGGGAAAAGUAGGAUAAUACCAAAAUGCACUACGUGCAAAACCACAUAGAGUACAAGAGACAUAAAGGAAGACAACAGAUUCUUUUUGCGUGGAUGAAAUCAUGAGUUUCUCCCUGGGAUCUUCCACAGCUCCUUUAAUCAGUCUUCCCAGACCUCUCCCUGAAAUGUGCCAACAGAUCUGGUCCAUGUUAGCAAGAGUCUUGAAAGGCUCAUCUGGAGAAACCUAUUCGUCGCUAGGCGAGCAUUAAUGGAAACGUAAGGAACCUGGACCAAUGUGAGCCUCCAAGUGGACUGACGUCCUACAGAUUGUUUGAUUAGAGACCAGAAGAGAGGAGGAAGGAUACAUAAACUCGCUGUCACUUUCAGAGCUUUUCCUAGCUCUGCAGCUGCCAGUCAACAAAUGCACAGUAAAAUCCCUAUGACUGCCCAUUCCUUAUACUCAGAUAAGUAUUAGGCCAUGAUCCUCAAAUGUGAUUUGCUGGCCUAGACUUUACCCAUUACAUAAACAGAUUUGCAAUUUUACAGGAAAGAAUACAAACCAAACCAGCUGCCCUCUAGCCUGGAAAAUCCCCAUUGAACAUCUCCAUUGGAAAAUUCCUACAUCAGGACAAUUAAAUACAAGGAGAUUUGAAAAAGGCUGGUUUUACCUAGGCUUUGGGUGGACAAUGCGGUUCCUAGAGAGCAGUAUCCGUAGUGAAAACUGACUGAAAAUGCUGUGAGAUGAAAACCAGUAUUUUCCUUAUCCCAUCCUUACGUAUAUACG